UAGUCUAUGUAAAACAAUAAUAGCUGUGGCAAGUAAAGGAGGCCAGACUUUAAAGGAGGCUGUCCAGAGAAUGUCUUUUGCGUUAUUCACUAAUAACCUCUGCUGUAAACUUAAUUGGUCUGGUAUUACUAUAAAUGACAAUGAAAGUAACUUUGUAAAACAAAGACUUACACUUGCUUAAAAGAGCUGUAAAAAGAAAUCCUGCAACAACUUCAGCAACUGAAUCAGAUUUUCAAUAUGAGGUUGUGCGUUUUUUGCGUGGUGCAUCAGACCGCAUGGGCGGAAAAAAAGUUAGACAAGACCAAAAAAACAAACAAGCCAAGAAAAAAGUGAUGCCUACAUCAAGUUUUCCGAUGCCAUUAAAUAAAGAGGGAUUUUUUAGUUCAGAAGAUGAAUAAUAUUGUUAAAUAAAAUA
rnacentral:lncRNA from 1 species